rnacentral:tRNA from 1 species
UCUCUGCUAGUAUAUCGGUUAGUACACGCGCCUGUCAUUCAGUUAAGACGGACGCGCGAAAGCUGGGUUCGACUCCCAGGCAGAGAG